AUCGGGAUAGGUUCCCCCGCCCGAACAGCGGAAAAAGCGCGCGUGCACGAAAAACUCGCGUCCGAAAUGCUGUGCUCGUACCACUGAGGGGGAAUCGUAUCUGACAGUACCAUCCCCAGGUGUCGGCAUGUGUUUCCCCUGCUAUGAUGGACAAAUACAGGGAUAGCAGCCUGAAAAUCACAGGACUUACCUGGUGUCUGUAAACAAGUCAACGGUACGAAUUUGACAGAGGCAUACAAAUGACCAGUGUGAGAUGGUUUUGGAAAUGAAGCUCAAACUCAAAUCAAGCAAGUGAAACACUUUUUU